GACGAACGCUGGCGGCGUGCUUAACACAUGCAAGUCGAACGGAAAGGCCCUGCUUUUGUGGGGUGCUCGAGUGGCGAACGGGUGAGUAACCCGUGAGUAACCUGCCCUUGACUUUGGGAUAACUUCAGAAAACUGGGGCUAAUACCGGAUAGGAGCUCCUGCUGCAUGGUGGGGGUUGGAAAGCUUCGGCGGUUGGGGAUGGACUCGCGGCUUAUCAGCUUGUUGGUGGGGUAGUGGCUUACCAAGGCUUUGACGGGUAGCCGGCCUGAGAGGGUGACCGGCCACAUUGGGACUGAGAUACGGCCCAGACUGCUACGGGAGGCAGCAGUGGGGAAUAUUGCACAAUGGGCGGAAGCCUGAUGCAGCAACGCCGCGUGCGGGAUGACGGCCUUCGGGUGGUAAACCGCUUUCGCCUGUGACGAAGCGUGAGUGACGGUAAUGGGUAAAGAAGCACCGGCUAACUACGUG
rnacentral:rRNA from 1 species